rnacentral:rRNA from 1 species
UACGUAGGUGACAAGCGUUGUCCGGAUUUACUGGGCGUAAAGAGCGCGCAGGCGGUCGUUCAAGUCGCGUGUGAAAGCCCCCCGGCUCAACUGGGGAGGGUCACGCGAUACUGAUCGACUCGAAGGCAGGAGAGGGUAGUGGAAUUCCCGGUGUAGUGGUGAAAUGCGUAGAUAUCGGGAGGAACACCAGUGGCGAAGGCGACUACCUGGCCUGUUCUUGACGCUGAGGCGCGAAAGCUAGGG